GACCCGUCUUGAAACACGGACCAAGGAGUUUUAUAUGAUCGCGAGUCAAAGGGCGGUACGAAACCCCACGGCGUAAUUAAUGUGAAGGUUGAUUUAUCAACUGUGAUGUGAUGUCGUGGCUCGAUCAAAAGAGUUACAGACAGCAACAUCGACCCGUCUAAAGGUGUUCGCAUCUGGCCGGAGUUUGAGCGAUCAUGUAGAGACCCGAAAGAUGGUGAACUAUGCUUGUGCAGAUUGAAGUCAGAGGAAACUCUGGUGGAGGACCGCAGCGGUUCUGACGUGCAAAUCGAUCGCCAGACGUGAGUAUAGGGGCGAAAGACUAAUCGAACCAUCUAGUAGCUGGUUCCCUCCGAAGUUUCCCUCAGGAUAGCUGGCAUUUACUUGAACGUAGUUUUACCUGGUAAAGCGAAUGAUUAGAAGUAUUGGGGGCGAAAUGCCUUCAACUUAUUCUCAAACUUUAAAUGGGUGCGAAGUGUAACUCUCUUCAUUGGAGUUAUACAUUGAAUACAAAUGCCUAGUGGGCCAUUUUUGGUAAGCAGAACUGGCGAUGUGGGAUGAACCAAACAUUUGGUUAAGGUGCCAAAGUUUACGCUCAUGAGAAACCACAAAAGGUGUUGGUUGAUAAAGACAGCAGGACGGUGGACAUGGAAGUCGUCAUCCGCUAAGGAGUGUGU
rnacentral:rRNA from 1 species